GCCAAGUGUGGUGGCGCACACCUGUAAUCCCAGCUGCUCAGGAGGCUGAGGCAGAAGGAUCAUGAGUUCAAAGCCAGCUUCAGUAAUUGCGAGGCACUAAGCAACUCAGUGAGACCCUGUCUCUA
rnacentral:sRNA from 1 species